CCUACGGGGGGCAGCAGUGGGGAAUAUUGGACAAUGGGGGGAACCCUGAUCCAGCCAUGCCGCGUGUGUGAAGAAGGCCCUCGGGUUGUAAAGCACUUUCAGUGAGGAAGAACGCCUGGUGGUUAAUACCCAUCAGGAAAGACAUCACUCACAGAAGAAGCGCCGGCUAACUCCGUGCCAGCAGCCGCGGUAAUACGGAGGGUGCGAGCGUUAAUCGGAAUUACUGGGCGUAAAGCGCGCGUAGGUGGCUUGAUAAGCCGGUUGUGAAAGCCCCGGGCUCAACCUGGGAACGGCAUCCGGAACUGUCAAGCUAGAGUGCAGGAGAGGAAGGUAGAAUUCCCGGUGUAGCGGUGAAAUGCGUAGAGAUCGGGAGGAAUACCAGUGGCGAAGGCGGCCUUCUGGACUGACACUGACACUGAGGUGCGAAAGCGUGGGUAGCAAACAGGAUUAGAUACCCUGGUAGUC
rnacentral:rRNA from 1 species